rnacentral:rRNA from 1 species
AGAGUUUGAUCAUGGCUCAGGACGAACGCUGGCGGCGCGCCUAACACAUGCAAGUCGAACGGAGUUUAUCCGACUGAAGUUUUCGGAUGGAAGAUGGAUAAACUUAGUGGCGGACGGGUGAGUAACACGUGAGCAACCUGCCUUUCAGAGGGGGAUAACGAUUGGAAACGAUCGCUAAUACCGCAUAACAUUAUGAGGAGACAUCUUCUUAUAAUCAAAGGAGCAAUCCGCUGAAAGAUGGGCUCGCGGCCGAUUAGCUAGAUGGUGGGGUAACGGCCCACCAUGGCGACGAUCGGUAGCCGGACUGAGAGGUUGAACGGCCACAUUGGGACUGAGACACGGCCCAG